UGGGGAAUAUUGCACAAUGGGCGCAAGCCUGAUGCAGCCAUGCCGCGUGUAUGAAGAAGGCCUUCGGGUUGUAAAGUACUUUCAGCGGGGAGGAAGGCGAUAAGGUUAAUAACCUUGUCGAUUGACGUUACCCGCAGAAGAAGCACCGGCUAACUCCGUGCCAGCAGCCGCGGUAAUACGGAGGGUGCAAGCGUUAAUCGGAAUUACUGGGCGUAAAGCGCACGCAGGCGGUCUGUCAAGUCGGAUGUGAAAUCCCCGGGCUCAACCUGGGAACUGCAUUCGAAACUGGCAGGCUAGAGUCUUGAAGAGGGGGGUAGAAUUCCAGGUGUAGCGGUGAAAUGCGUAGAGAUCUGGAGGAAUACCGGUGGCGAAGGCGGCCCCCUGGACAAAGACUGACGCUCAGGUGCGAAAGCGUGGGGAGCAAACA
rnacentral:rRNA from 1 species